rnacentral:SRP_RNA from 1 species
CCAUGCUAGGCGGGGAGCUGGCGGUUCCCUGUACCCGAAAUCCGCCAUAUGCGGGGCCGAAUGCCCUCCGAGGCUGUUCCGGUCGGAACACGGUGUGCUGGAGGGUGUUGAGGAUUGGGUCCCACGCAACGGAGGCUCACGAACCUGGUCAGGUCCGGAAGGAAGCAGCCAUAAGUGAGCUCAACCGUGUGCCGUGGGGGUGCUCAAUCUGAGCCUGAAGGCAUAACCGGUCCGGUCGGGGCUGUCGACGAGGGAGGCAUGG